GAUGAACGCUGGCGGCGUGCUUAACACAUGCAAGUCGAACGUGAAGAAGCAGCAAUGUUUCUGAAAGUGGCGGACGGGUGAGUAACACGUGGGUGACCUGCCCUGCAGAGGGGGAUAACGAGGGGAAACCUUCGCUAAUACCGCAUAGGCUUACACCGAUGGGAAUGGUGUGGGUAAAACUGAGGUGCUGCAAGAGGGGCCUGCGUCCGAUUAGCUAGUUGGUGAGGUAAUGGCUCACCAAGGCGAUGAUCGGUAGCUGGUCUGAGAGGACGAUCAGCCACACGGGAACUGAGAAACGGUCCCGACUCCUACGGGGGGCAGCAGUGAGGAAUAUUGGGCAAUGGACGAAAGUCUGACCCAGCAACGCCGCGUGGAGGAUGAAGGUUUUUGGAUUGUAAACUCCUUUUGUGGGGAAGAGUGAGGACGGUACCCCAAGAAUAAGUCACGGCUAACUACGUGCCAGCAGCCG
rnacentral:rRNA from 1 species